AGCCACCUUCGGGUGGUGGACAGUGGCAGACGGGUGAGUAACGCGUGGGAACGUGCCUUUCGGUUCGGGAUAACCCAGGGAAACUUGGGCUAAUACCGGAUACGCCCUUCGGGGGAAAGAUUCAUUGCCGAAAGAUCGGCCCGCGUCGGAUUAGCUAGUUGGUGGGGUAAAAGCCUACCAAGGCGACGAUCCGUAGCUGGUCUGAGAGGAUGACCAGCCACACUGGGACUGAGACACGGCCCAGACUCCUACGGGAGGCAGCAGUGGGGAAUAUUGGACAAUGGGCGCAAGCCUGAUCCAGCCAUGCCGCGUGGGUGAAGAAGGCCUUAGGG
rnacentral:rRNA from 1 species